AAGGGAGACCUAAUUCAGGUAGGAGACGAAAAAAAAGUAGUCCCUACCAAGAAUCAAUCCCAAAAGGUCGGAGCGAGGCAAAAUUGGCUUUCAAACUAGGUUCUGGGUUCACACAAGACCUGAAUCAGGAACAAGGGCUAUUAGCUCAGGUGGUUAGAGCGCACCCCUGAUAAGGGUGAGGUCCCUGGUUCGAGUCCAGGAUGGCCCACCUGUACAGGUGGCAAAAACAAAGAAAAGAAGCGAGGAAUCAGCACCUUAUCUUACUUAUAUAGUAAGAGAGAAUGCUGGCUCUGAGUAAAGAGUCCAGAGGAACCUUGAAAACUGCAUAGAGCUAGGUGAAAAAGCCAAAAAAGAAGACCACAA
rnacentral:tRNA from 1 species